rnacentral:rRNA from 1 species
UAUCAAUAAGCGGAGGAAAAGAAAACUAACAAGGAUUCCCCUAGUAGCGGCGAGCGAAGCGGGAAGAGCUCAAAUUUAUAAUCUGGCACCUUCGGUGUCCGAGUUGUAAUCUCUAGAAGUGUUUUCCGCGUUGGACCGCACACAAGUCUGUUGGAAUACAGCGGCAUAGUGGUGAGACCCCCGUAUAUGGUGCGGACGCCCAACGCUUUGUGAUACACUUUCGAAGAGUCGAGUUGUUUGGGAAUGCAGCUCAAAUUGGGUGGUAAAUUCCAUCUAAAGCUAAAUAUUGGCGAGAGACCGAUAGCGAACAAGUACCGUGAGGGAAAGAUGAAAAGCACUUUGGAAAGAGAGUUAACAGUACGUGAAAUUGUUGGAAGGGAAACGCUUGAAGUCAGACUUGCUUGCCGAGCAAUCGGUUUGCAGGCCAGCAUCAGUUUUCCGGGGUGGAUAAUGGUAGAGAGAAGGUAGCAGUUUCGGCUGUGUUAUAGCUCUUUGCUGGAUACACCUUGGGGGACUGAGGAACGCAGUGUGCCUUACGGCGGAUUUCUCGAGAUCUUCACACUUAGGAU